AUACUUACCUGGCAGGGGAGACACCAUGAUCACAAAGGUGGUUUUCCAGGGCGAGGCUAUCUAUUGCACUCUGGAUGUGCUGACCCCUGCAAUUUCCCCAAAUGUGGGAAACUCGACUCCAUAGUUUGUGGUAGUGGGGGAUUGUGCUCGCACUCUCCACUC